rnacentral:lncRNA from 1 species
CUCUUUCCGAUACACAACUAUAUCAGCAGCCAGAAGCACAACAGCCAUUGCCUUGGCAUCAAUCUCAGCCGCAACAGCCAUUGGCUCGUGCUGAACCUGAACUGCAAGAGGCUUUACAUCAACCUACGCCACCACAAAAGCCUUGGCAUCAAUCUCAGCCGCAACAGCCAUUGGCUCGUGCUGAACCUGAACUGCAAGAGGCUUUACAUCAACCUACGCCACCACAAAAGCCUUGGCAUCAAUCUCAGCCGCAACAGCCAUUGGCUCGUGCUGAACCUGAACUACAAGAGGCUUUACAUCAACCUACACCACCACAAAAGCCUUGGCAUCAAUCUCAGCCGCAACAGCCAUUGGCUCGUGCUGAACCUGAACUACAAAAGGCUUUACAUCAACCUACACCACCACAAAAGCCUUGGCAUCAAUCUCAGCCGCAACAGCCAUUGGCUCGUGCUGAACCUGAACUACAAAAGGCUUUACAUCAACCUAUGCCACCACAAAAGCCUUUGCAUCAACCUACACCACCACCAAAGCCUUUGCAUCAAC